AUUGAACGCUGGCGGAAUGCCUUACACAUGCAAGUCGAACGGCAGCACGGACUUCGGUCUGGUGGCGAGUGGCGAACGGGUGAGUAACAUAUCGGAACGUAUCCAAUAAUGGGGGAUAACGAGUCGAAAGAUUCGCUAAUACCGCAUACGCCCUACGGGGGAAAGCUGGGGACCUUCGGGCCUGGCGUUAAUGGAGCGGCCGAUAUCUGAUUAGCUAGUUGGUGAGGUAAAGGCUCACCAAGGCGACGAUCAGUAGCUGGUCUGAGAGGACGACCAGCCACACUGGAACUGAGACACGGUCCAGACUCCUACGGGAGGCAGCAGUGGGGAAUUUUGGACAAUGGGCGCAAGCCUGAUCCAGCCAUUCCGCGUGAGUGAAGAAGGCCUUCGGGUUGUAAGCUCUUUCGCAAGGGAAGAAAACUUAGCCACUAACAUUGGUUGAGGUUGACGGUACCUUGAUAAGAAGCACCGGCUAACUACGUGCCAGCCGCCGCCGUAA
rnacentral:rRNA from 1 species